rnacentral:rRNA from 1 species
UACAGAGGUCUCAAGCGUUGUUCGGAUUCAUUGGGCGUAAAGGGUGCGUAGGCGGCGCGGUAAGUCGGGUGUGAAAUCUCGGGGCUUAACUCCGAAACUGCAUUCGAUACUGCCGUGCUUGAGGACUGGAGAGGAGACUGGAAUUUACGGUGUAGCGGUGAAAUGCGUAGAUAUCGGGAGGAACACCAAUUGCGAAGGCAGCUCGCUGGGACGUUACUGACGCUGAGACGCGAAAGCGUGGGGAGCGAACAGG